AGAUUGAACGCUGGCGGCAGGCCUAACACAUGCAAGUCGAGCGGUAGAGAGGUGCUUGCAUCUCUUGAGAGCGGCGGACGGGUGAGGAAUACGUAGGAAUUUGCCCUUAAGUGGGGGAUAACCCGGGGGAAACCCGGAUUAAUACCGCAUGACCUCGAAAGAGCAAAGCGGGGGAUCGCAAGACCUCACGCUUUUGGAGAAGCCUACGUCGGAUUAGCUAGUUGGUGAGGUAAUGGCUCACCAAGGCGACGAUCCGUAACUGGUCUGAGAGGAUGAUCAGUCACACCGGAACUGAGACACGGUCCGACUCCGUACGGGAGCAGCAAGGUGGGGAAUAGUUGGACAAGUGGGCGCAAGCCUGACUCCAGCAAUGCCGCGUGUGUAGGAAGAACGGCCGUUCGGGUAGGUAAGACGUAACGUUUAAGUUAGGAAAGAAAAACUACGACUAC
rnacentral:rRNA from 1 species